UACAGAGGUCCCAAGCGUUGUUCGGAUUCACUGGGCGUAAAGGGUGCGUAGGCGGUCGGGUAAGUCUGACGUGAAAUCUCCGGGCCUAACCCGGAAACUGCGUCGGAUACUAUCCGGCUAGAGGAUUGGAAGGGAGACUGGAAUACUUGGUGUAGCAGUGAAAUGCGUAGAUAUCAAGUGGAACACCAGUGGCGAAGGCGAGUCUCUGGACAUUUCCUGACGCUGAGGCACGAAAGCCAGGGGAGCAAACGGG
rnacentral:rRNA from 1 species